rnacentral:rRNA from 1 species
UGUCUUUUUGACAAAAUUUAAAGUCCAAUCUGCUCACUGAAAAUUUAAAGAGCCGCAGUAUCUUGACUGUGCAAAGGUAGCAUAAUCAUUAGUUUUUUAAUUGAAAACUUGUAUGAAAGAUUAGACGAGAAAUUUAUUUUCUUUAUUUUAAAAAAUUAAAUUUUAAUUUUAAGUGAAAAUGCUUAAUUAAAUAUAAAAGACGAGAAGACCCUAUAGAUUUUUAAUAUUGAAUUAAAUGUAAAAUAUUUAUUUAUUAAGAUAUUUUCAUUGGGGUGAUUUUGUAAUAUAAAAAACUUAAAUUAAUUAAAACCAUAAAUUAUUGUAAUUUUAGAUCUAAAAUUUUUAAAGGAAAGAUUAAAUUACCUUAGGGAUAACAGCGUAAUUUUUUUUAAGAGUUCAUAUCUAUAAAAAAGCUUGCGACCUCGAUGUUGAAUUAAGAUAAUAUAUUGAAGUAGAAGUUAAUAUAAUUAGUCUGUUCGACUAUUAAAUUCUUACGUG